rnacentral:rRNA from 1 species
CAGCAGCCGCCGCGGUAAUACGGAGGGUGCAAGCGUUAAUCGGAAUUACUGGGCGUAAAGGGUGCGUAGGCGGUUGUUUAAGUCUGUUGUGAAAUCCCCGGGCUCAACCUGGGAAUGGCAAUGGAAACUGGACGGCUAGAGUGUGUCAGAGGAUAGUGGAAUUUCCUGUGUAGCGGUGAAAUGCGUAGAUAUAGGAAGGAACACCAGUGGCGAAGGCGACCACCUGGACUAAUACUGACACUGAGGUGCGAAAGCGUGGGGAGCAAACAGGAUUAGAUACCCCCGUAGUCCCUGUCUCUUAUAC